rnacentral:rRNA from 1 species
UACGGAGGGGACUAGCGUUGUUCGGAAUUACUGGGCGUAAAGCGCACGUAGGCGGAUUUGUAAGUCAGGGGUGAAAUCCCGGGGCUCAACCCCGGAACUGCCUUUGAUACUGCGAAUCUCGAGUCCGGAAGAGGUGAGUGGAAUUCCUAGUGUAGAGGUGAAAUUCGUAGAUAUUAGGAAGAACACCGGUGGCGAAGGCGGCCUGCUGGGCAGUAGCUGACGCUGAGGCGCGACAGCGUGGGGAGCAAACAGG